rnacentral:rRNA from 1 species
UACGUAGGGGGCGAGCGUUGUCCGGAUUUAUUGGGCGUAAAAGAGCUCGUAGGCGGUUGGGUAAGUCGGGUGUGAAAAACUCAGGGCUCAACUCUGAGACGCCACUCGAUACUGCUCUGACUCGAGUCCGGUAGGGGAGCGUGGAAUUCCCGGUGUAGCGGUGAAAUGCGCAGAUAUCGGGAGGAACACCAGUGGCGAAGGCGGCGCUCUGGGCCGGAACUGACGCUGAGGAGCGAAAGCGUGGGGAGCAAACAGG